rnacentral:rRNA from 1 species
UGGGGAAUAUUGCACAAUGGGCGCAAGCCUGAUGCAGCCAUGCCGCGUGUAUGAAGAAGGCCUUCGGGUUGUAAAGUACUUUCAGCGAGGAGGAAGGCGUUGUGGUUAAUAACCGCAACGAUUGACGUUACUCGCAGAAGAAGCACCGGCUAACUCCGUGCCAGCAGCCGCGGUAAUACGGAGGGUGCAAGCGUUAAUCGGAAUUACUGGGCGUAAAGCGCACGCAGGCGGUCUUUCAAGUCGGAUGUGAAAUCCCCGGGCUCAACCUGGGAACUGCAUCCGAAACUGGCAGGCUAGAGUCUUGUAGAGGGGGGUAGAAUUCCAGGUGUAGCGGUGAAAUGCGUAGAGAUCUGGAGGAAUACCGGUGGCGAAGGCGGCCCCCUGGACAAAGACUGACGCUCAGGUGCGAAAGCGUGGGGAGCAAACA